CACCCACCCUGCUGACACUCUGGCUG
rnacentral:piRNA from 1 species